CAAUUUAUUUUUGGAGUGCGGCUGUCCAGAACGUUUUUCCUUCAUUUUUCAGGACUAAUUCAGAGUUGGGCCUAGCCAAGUGCUAGCUGCAUAGGGAUCCAAGUAUUGCACAGUAGAGGAAGUAACAGUUCAUCAAGAAGUGUUAUGCCGAAGGAGUCUGGGGCUUUAAAAACUAUGAAUAGAGGUUCCAAUCUACAUUUUCAUUGAUUAAAUGCUAUUGGUCUGGGCAUCCCAUAACCCCUUUUACCCCAUCCAAGUUUAAUCCCUCGAUAAAACAACAAAAAGCAAGCUGAUGGACUGUUCAUUGUCUGGAGAGUGACUGGAAGUGAAUGCCAGGCUGAGCAGGGUGACAGGUGUAACUACUACACUCAGCGACCCCACGGGGGCAUCGCUACAGUAAUGUGUAUACAAUCAUGAGUGAGUUAUGUGUGAAUGUGCAUGGAGCAUAAUAUAACAUGUGUAAAUGUUGAAUGGGGUUAAAGGGAACCUUUCAGUAUUAAAGCAAUAAACUAUCAUAACUAAGUGAGAAACAGCAGAAUGCCUUUUUAUAUCCUUCAGGAGGAAUAGUCCUCUCAUGCACGCUGAUAAUCCCGAAGAGUACCAUAUAUCGACAACUAUAUGAGUCCCAUCACUCCCCCUUUUCCUUCAAUUCCUCCACAGGUGUCCCCCUCUCUUUCCUUGACAUUGCUUCCUACUUGAACUUGUAUCUAUUUCAUGCCUCCAAUCAGAGUUUUCCGCAAUAUCCCCCUUGUCCGUCGCGGGGGGGGUUACCUCACCUGGGUUGCCUGAUACCACACUUCACCACCUAAUUAUGGAUUGGUUCUCUUGAGAAAGCGGUUUCACCGCGAAACUAGUCGAGGCAUAGACCAGUCUAUAUGUUUGCAACAACAGAACUGCCCGGGGGUACUCCCUGAGGUCCUGUUUUUUCAAUUUUACCAUGUAUUCUUUGUUCAACAAUUGUAUGUAAUAAAAUAUAUUUUUAUAUUA